GGCCCGUUGGUCAAGCGGUUAAGACACCGCCCUUUCACGGCGGUAACACGGGUUCGAAUCCCGUACGGGUC
rnacentral:tRNA from 7 species